rnacentral:rRNA from 1 species
UAGGGAAUCUUCGGCAAUGGACGGAAGUCUGACCGAGCAACGCCGCGUGAGUGAAGAAGGUUUUCGGAUCGUAAAGCUCUGUUGUAAGAGAAGAACGAGUGUGAGAGUGGAAAGUUCACACUGUGACGGUAACUUACCAGAAAGGGACGGCUAACUACGUGCCAGCAGCCGCGGUAAUACGUAGGUCCCGAGCGUUAUCCGGAUUUAUUGGGCGUAAAGCGAGCGCAGGCGGUUAGAUAAGUCUGAAGUUAAAGGCUGUGGCUUAACCAUAGUACGCUUUGGAAACUGUUUAACUUGAGUGCAGAAGGGGAGAGUGGAAUUCCAUGUGUAGCGGUGAAAUGCGUAGAUAUAUGGAGGAACACCGGUGGCGAAAGCGGCUCUCUGGUCUGUAACUGACGCUGAGGCUCGAAAGCGUGGGGAGCAAACAGGAUUAGAUACCCUGGUAGUCCACGCCGUAAACGAUGAGUGCUAGGUGUUAGACCCUUUCCGGGGUUUAGUGCCGCAGCUAACGCAUUAAGCACUCCGCCUGGGGAGUACGACCGCAAGGUUG